UGGAAGUAUGUUACAAGAAUGAAUAAAGUAAGCUAAUGCAGUCAUCUCUGAAACCUUGGAUACUGUGCUGCUACGGAGUUUUCGGCUUUUUGAGGAGAAGUUUCCCAAACACGUUCUCUUGAACUGCUGGAGAGACAUAAGGACAAGUCAGUGAAGUCCCAUAGGAGGCAGCAGGGGAGUGGCCAGCAGACGCAAAGCAGGGUGAAGCCACAGUGAGAUUCCUACUGAGUGUUCCUGCAGCUGACUCAGCACAUCACCUCCAAGAAAAUGGCAAGAAGCUCCAUUAAGUCCAAACGAAACUGAAAUCAUUUAAUUAGGAUGCAUCUCUCAUGCAGAAGACGGCAGAGACUGUGAGAUGCUCCCGUGUGGCUGGAGAGCUGGUGGC